UACGUAGGGUGCAAGCGUUAUCCGGAAUUAUUGGGCGUAAAGAGCUCGUAGGCGGUCUGUCACGUCUGCUGGUGAAAACCUGGAGGCUCAACCUCCAGCCUGCAGUGGGUACGGGCAGACUAGAGUGCGGUAGGGGAGAUUGGAAUUCCUGGUGUAGCGGUGGAAUGCGCAGAUAUCAGGAGGAACACCGAUGGCGAAGGCAGAUCUCUGGGCCGUAACUGACGCUGAGGAGCGAAAGCAUGGGGAGCGAACAGG
rnacentral:rRNA from 1 species